rnacentral:rRNA from 1 species
UACAGAGGAGCCAAGCGUUGUCCGGAUUGACUGGGCGUAAAGCGCACGCAGGCGGACGCGCGCGUGGGGUGUGAAAUCUGGCCGCUUAACGGCCAGGCGCCAUCCCAUACGGCGUGUCUGGAGUGAUGCAGAGGUCGAUGGAAUUGCCGGUGUAGUGGUGAAAUGCGUAGAGAUCGGCAGGAACACCCAGGGGGAAACCAGUGGACUGGCACGGUGCUGACGCUCAGGUGCGAAAGCGUGGGGAGCGAACCGG